rnacentral:tRNA from 1 species
GCCUUCGUGGUGUAACGAUAGCACACUUGGCCCGUAUUCGAGAGGUCCAGAUUCGAGUUCCAGCGAAGGCA